rnacentral:rRNA from 1 species
CAGCCGCCGCGGUAAUACGUAGGGUGCGAGCGUUAAUCGGGAUUACUGGGCGUAAAGCGUGCGCAGGCGGUUUUGUAAGACAGGCGUGAAAUCCCCGGGCUCAACCUGGGAAUGGCGCCUGUGACUGCAAAGCUAGAGUGCGGCAGAGGGGGAUGGAAUUCCGCGUGUAGCAGUGAAAUGCGUAGAUAUGCGGAGGAACACCGAUGGCGAAGGCAAUCCCCUGGGCCUGCACUGACGCUCAUGCACGAAAGCGUGGGGAGCAAACAGGAUUAGAUACCCCUGUAGUCCCUGUCUCUUAUAC